rnacentral:rRNA from 1 species
UUGGAGGGCAAGUCUGGUGCCAGCAGCCGCGGUAAUUCCAGCUCCAAUAGCGUAUAUUAAAGUUGUUGCAGUUAAAAAGCUCGUAGUUGAAUUUCGGAGUUUGUCGGUUGGUCGGGCUUCACUGUCCGCACUGGCCUGAUGGAUUCCUACCUUCUGAAUAACCGGCAUGCUAUUAAGUUAGUGCGUUGGGGAAGCAGAGCUAUUACCUUGAAAAAAUUAGAGUGCUUAAAGCAGGCUUUUGCUUGAAUAGAUUAGCAUGGAAUAAUAAAAUAGGACGGCAUGGUUCUAUUUUGUUGGUUUCUAGGAUCACCGUAAUGAUUAAUAGGGAUAGUUGGGGGCAUUAGUAUUCAAUUGUCAGAGGUGAAAUUCUUGGAUUUAUUGAAGACUAACUUCUGCGAAAGCAUUUGCCAAGGAUGUUUUCAUUAAUCAAGAACGAAAGUUAGGGGAUCGAAGACGAUCAGAUACCGUCGUAGUCUUAACCAUAAACUAUGCCGACUAGGGAUCGGACGAUGUUAAUUUUUUAAUGACUCGUUCGGCGCCUUACGGGAAAC